rnacentral:lncRNA from 1 species
CAACAUCAGCACAAUAUAUUCACUCAUUCAUAUGCCACAAGAUAAAGAAGAUAUAUCCUAUGUGUCAGUAGUUGCCUACCUUUUUUUGUGUGUGUCUUUUAUUCAUAAGAGUGAGUGCCCCCAACCUUAAGGGUCAACUGGGACACUUCAGUGUCACUUUGCAAGACAGUCAUGAAUUGUGAACUUAAGUUAAGCAAAGGGAUUAGGGCUCUUUUUAAUCAUGUUACUAUCUAAACUCUAAACUUGCUCCCUUAUGUUGCCGUUAAAUGUCUGUAUGUCAUCUGUGCCAGAGGCCAGUCGGUGUGCUCGUCAUGCUCCACAUCUUGGGGAGGCUCAGCAGAGGGGGCCGCUGAGUGUUUGCAGAUCGCUCCUGCAGCUCAGAUUCCACAAAGCCACGACCAACACUCUGUUGAAAAUGAGGCCAUUCUCCAUAAAGAUGAGCUGGACUCGAUGCUGGGAGAUGUGAGUUUGACUCAGGGCUCCUUCGAUGGCAUUCUACAGUGGGCCUUUCACAGUAUUUCGAGACCACUCCCUGACUCUCAUGGCUGCUUCCAGUGAUCGACCAUCCGACGAACGUGCCUCACAGUGACACUCAUAUAGACAGCCAUAGUGAAUCGAAAUGUUAUUAUUAUUAUUUUUUUAAAGAGACAGGCCACACAAAAGUUGCGCAACUACUACAAUCAACAUUAGCGCCACUACUACUGUUUCUAAGCAACACAAUCCACUAUCUCAUUUGCAACCUCAAUCAACCUCACCCUCACUUCUACGUCCACUACAGUUACUACAGUUGUAUUAUUAGUUUACUACCCAUUUUGCAACCACAAAGUAAUUUACAAAACCCACCACACAAGAAAAUGACAAUCAACCACUGACUCUGAAAGGUGUGUUAUUAAAAUAAACAAAUGUUGACCUGGCUGCUCGAUAUGAAUGAAAAAUGCGCAAUUUGGUAAAGGUCUUACAUAGUGUAAUAACAAUAUUAUUGCAAUAUUUCAUGAGACUAUUAUGAAACAGUAUGUUCCAUUAAAUUCAAACACAAAAUCUUGAUUUGUUUCUUUGUGAAACUGAGUAAAAUUUAAAGAUUGGAAUAAACUGACUUUUUUUCUGCAACUAAAUGUUUCCCUGCAUUUUUUGAGGACCAGGAGUUGUGAUCUUGCAAUGUUUUUCAUAACAAUAAUUUAGCAAUACUGCACUACGCAGCCCUUAAUCUGAU